GUCGCAUUUACAAUGCGAUUCAUGAAUUUGUUGUCAUUCAUUAAGGUAGCUGAUCAAUUACCAUCCUCUACGAAACGGUAAUUUGAUUGAUACAUAUGGAAGAGAAAAGUAUCGGCACCAUUAACAUCAUUCACAACUUGAGCAGCCUGGCUUGCAUUUUCGCCUUUAUAAAAGAAAAAGUCUCACUCCGAAGUAAUUCUAUGUCGGAUCACUCAUUGUAUCGUCAUCGCUCAUUGUGCUUGAGGGUAACUGAGCAGAAUGGACACCGCCAGAAAAUGAACUGUAACUAACAAAAUCACUGUACCUGCUGCGAUUAAUCAGGUGGUCUAUUCAGUUGCGGUGGGAACGCAUGAUCAGUAAUGGCUCUCUCGUAGUCGACCGCCUUGGUGAACGAGCUGUCGACACCGAUCGCUUGUUUCCGCUGGCUCGAAAUCAUCACGAUUACCACCAACAACAACAGCACCAUCAGGAGGCUUGACUGCACCGCACGCAAGACGGUCACGGAACUCAUUCCAACAAACAAACACAAACGUAAAUACAUGUUUAAAUACGUAAAUGCAUGCUCAAAGAUGUAUAAUAGCACAAUCAAAUGCGUUCCCACGGUAGUGAGCGCCACCCGAUAAGUUAGCCUUGUGCUAGUCAUUGAUGAUGAACACCUGAGUGAACGUGUUAAAUAAAUAC